rnacentral:sRNA from 20 species
GUCAACAACCCAAUGACUAAAGUCAUGGGCUUGUAAGCCCCAUGUUGACCAGACCAAGGCUUGAAACAGAGCCUACGUUAUAGAUGUCAUGACACGUUCGGGUGCUUCUCCAGCCCGUUCCUCUGUC